rnacentral:rRNA from 1 species
UACAGAGGGUGCAAGCGUUGCUCGGAUUUACUGGGCGUAAAGCGUACGCAGACGGCAAGGUAGGUUGGGUGUGAAAGCCCCGGGCUCAACCCGGGAAAUGCAUCCAAAACCCCCUUGCUCGAGUAUGAGAGAGGGAAGCGGAAUUCCUGGUGUAGAGGUGAAAUUUGUAGAUAUCAGGAGGAACAUCGGCGGCGAAGGCGGCUUCCUGGCUCAUUACUGACGUUCAGGUACGAAAGCGUGGGUAGCAAACAGG